rfam:Gorilla gorilla gorilla genomic chromosome, chr14, whole genome shotgun sequence
AUCUACGACCAAACCACCCUGAACACGCCCGAUCUCGUCUGAUCUCAGAACCUAAGCAGGGUCGGGCCUGGUUAUUACUUGGGUGGGAAAAUAAGUAACUACAGCCA